rnacentral:rRNA from 1 species
UGCCAGCAGCCGCGGUAAUACGAAGGUCCCGAGCGUUGUUCGGAAUCACUGGGCGUAAAGGGAGCGUAGGCGGCGCGGUAAGUCAGAUGUGAAAUCCCGGGGCUCAACCCCGGAACUGCAUCCGAUACUGCCGUGCUAGAGUAAUGGAGGGGUAGCUGGAAUUCUCGGUGUAGCAGUGAAAUGCGUAGAUAUCGAGAGGAACACUCGUGGCGAAGGCGAGCUACUGGACAUUUACUGACGCUGAGGCUCGAAGGCUAGGGUAGCGAAAGGGAUUAGAUA